rnacentral:rRNA from 1 species
UACGUAGGCAGCAAGCGUUGUUCGGAGUUACUGGGCGUAAAGGGUGCGUAGGCGGCUAUUUAAGUUUGGUGUGAAAUCUCCCGGCUCAACCGGGAGGGUGCGCCGAAUACUGAGUGGCUAGAGUGCGGGAGAGGAAAGUGGAAUUCCUGGUGUAGCGGUGAAAUGCGUAGAUAUCGGGAGGAACACCAGUGGCGAAGGCGGCUACCUGGCCCAUUCUUGACGCUGAGGCGCGAAAGCUAGGGGAGCACACGGG